AUGAGCUAUGUGCAUGGCAUCAGUCUGACCUCGUCUCCUGCUGAGGUUAAACCUCCCGGAGCCUCAGUGAAGUUGUCCUGUCAGAUUUCUGGCUAUGCCCUCACUAGCUACAGCACAGGCUGGAUCAGGCAGCCUCCAGGAAAAGGCUUGGAGUGGAUCGGGAUCAUAUGGGAUGUGCAUGGUGAGGAACUGACUCAGCCUGCUUCCAUGACAGUCCAGCCAGGCCAGAGUCUCUCCAUCCCCUGCAAGGUUUCAUAUUCAGUUACGAGUUCUGCUACAGCUUGGAUCCGACAACCUGCAGGAAAUGCUCUGGAGUGGAUUGGAGUCAUCUAUGGCAGUGGGAGUGUUCACUGUGUUGAGCUGAUCCAGACCGGAUCCACAGUAUUAACCCCUGGUCAGUCAAUGACUAUGACCUGUAAAGUAUCUGGAUAUUCAUUAACUGAUAGCAGCUACUGUACAGACUGGAUACGACAACCUGCAGGACAAACUCUGGAGUGGAUCGGAUAUAUAUGUGGUGGUGGUAGCACUUACUACAGUGAGAAACUGAAAAGCAGGUUUCAGGUUUCCAGAGACACGUCCAGCAGCACAGUAACAUUAACAGGGCAGAAGAUGCAGACUGAAGACACAGCUGUGUAUUACUGCGCUCGUGAACCACAGUGA